rnacentral:rRNA from 1 species
UACGAAGGGGGCUAGCGUUGUUCGGAAUUACUGGGCGUAAAGCGCACGCAGGCGGCUUUUUAAGUCAGGGGUGAAAUCCCGGGGCUCAACCCCGGAACUGCCCUUGAAACUGGAAAGCUAGAAUCUUGGAGAGGCGAGUGGAAUUCCGAGUGUAGAGGUGAAAUUCGUAGAUAUUCGGAAGAACACCAGUGGCGAAGGCGACUCGCUGGACAAGUAUUGACGCUGAGGUGCGAAAGCGUGGGGAGCAAACAGG